rnacentral:rRNA from 1 species
UACGGAGGGUGCAAGCGUUAUCCGGAUUCACUGGGCGUAAAGCGUGCGCAGGCGGUUUGCUAAGACAGGUGUGAAAUCCCCGAGCUUAACUUGGGAACUGCGCUUGUAACUGGCAAGCUAGAGUGCGGCAGAGGGGGGUGGAAUUCCACGUGUAGCAGUGAAAUGCGUAGAGAUGUGGAGGAACACCGAUGGCGAAGGCAGCCCCCUGGGUCGACACUGACGCUCAUGCACGAAAGCGUGGGGAGCAAACAGG